GAUUCUAUUCCCUUAUGACAAAUUGGUAACAAGCGUGGGUAAUAAAAAAAAAGUUUAUAUGAGAGAUGUCUCUUGGACAUUAACUUCAAAUUAAGGCUUGAAUUCCUUGAAAAUUACCUUAUUAUACCACUUGAGUUAAGUGGGGCCCUGAUAGACGAAAUGCAUAUAAUGGGAAAGCCAAAACUUGAUGAAGGGAGCGUUUCAUUUCGAAGUUAG
rnacentral:lncRNA from 1 species